rnacentral:rRNA from 1 species
CGGGGGGGGCAAGCGUUGUUCGGAAUUACUGGGCGUAAAGGGCGCGUAGGCGGUCCGCUAAGUUGGAUGUGAAAACUCUGGGCUCAACCCAGAGCCUGCAUUCAAAACUGACGGGCUAGAGUUCUGGAGGGGGUAGCGGAAUUCCUGGUGUAGCGGUGAAAUGCGUAGAUAUCAGGAGGAACACCGGUGGCGAAGGCGGCUACCUGGACAGAAACUGACGCUGAGUGCGCGAAAGCUAGGGGAGCAAACAGGAUUAGAUACCCUGGUAGUCCUAGCCCUAAACGAUGGAUACUUGGUGUAGCUGGGAUUGAAUCCAGCUGUGCCGAAGCUAACGCAUUAAGUAUCCCGCCUGGGGAGUACGGUCGCAAGGCUG